rnacentral:rRNA from 1 species
CAGGAAGAAGCUUGCUUCUUUGCUGACGAGUGGCGGACGGGUGAGUAAUGUCUGGGAAACUGCCUGAUGGAGGGGGAUACCUACUGGAAACGGUAGCUAAUACCGCAUAACGUCGCAAGACCAAAGAGGGGGACCUUCGGGCCUCUUGCCAUCGGAUGUGCCCAGAUGGGAUUAGCUAGUAGGUGGGGUAACGGCUCACCUAGGCAGACGAUCCCUAGCUGGUCUGAGAGGAUGACCAGCCACACUGGAACUGAGACACGGUCCAGACUCCUACGGGAGGCAGCAGUGGGGAAUAUUGCACAAUGGGCGCAAGCCUGAUGCAGCCAUGCCGCGUGUAUGAAGAAGGCCUUCGGGUUGUAAAGUACUUUCAGCGGGGAGGAAGGGAGUAAAGUUAAUACCUUUGCUCAU